UCUAGCACGGCUUGUCCACUCUCCAAACAGCGCGCACUAUUGUCGUUGUCACACGUAAACGUG
rnacentral:ribozyme from 1 species